AUUCCAGCUCCAAUAGCGUAUAUUUAAGUUGUUGCAGUUAAAAAGCUCGUAGUUGGAUUUCGGGUGGGCUGCGCCGGUCUCCUAACGGUUGUACUGGCGACGCCUGCCUUGCUGCCGGGGACGGGCUCCUGCCUUUACUGUCGGGACCCGGAAUCGGCGACGUUACUUUGAGUAAAUUAGAGUGUUCAAAGCAAGCCUACGCUCUGAAUAUAAUAGCAUGGGAUAACACGACAGGACUCUGGCCUAUCGUGUUGGUCUGUAGGACCAGAGUAAUGAUUAAGAGGGAUAGUCGGGGGCAUUCGUAUUCCGUUGUCAGAGGUGAAAUUCUUGGAUUUACGGAAGACGAACAUCUGCGAAAGCAUUUGCCAAGGAUGUUUUCAUUG
rnacentral:rRNA from 1 species